rnacentral:rRNA from 1 species
ACGGAUCGCAUUAUAAUUAUCAUUAUUUGAUGAUUGGCGAUAGAUCAUUCAAGUUUCUGACCUAUCAGCUUUCGACGGUAGUGUAUUGGACUACCGUGGCAGUGACGGGUAACGGGGAAUUAGGGUUCGAUUCCGGAGAGGGAGCCUGAGAAACGGCUACCACAUCUAAGGAAGGCAGCAGGCGCGCAAAUUACCCAAUCCUGACUCAGGGAGGUAGUGACAAGAAAUAACAACACUGGAAAUUUGAUUUCUAGUGAUUGGAAUGAUGGGAAUCCAAACCCCUUUCAGAGUAACAAUUGGAGGGCAAGUCUGGUGCCAGCAGCCGCGGUAAUUCCAGCUCCAAUAGCGUAUAUUAAAGUUGUUGCAGUUAAAAAGCUCGUAGUUGGAUGUCUGUUGGAAGCAAUCAUCAGUCCGCCCUAUUUGAUUAGGGUGUGAAUAUGAUGAAUUCCGGCAUAAUUGUCUCCCUAUUGUUAAUAUUCUGAUUGUUAGAUUCAUUUCUAACAAUAAUACGAUUAUUAAUAAUAAGGGGGAAAUGUUACUUUGAGAAAAUUAGAGUGUUUGAAGCAGGCUUUUGUUGCCUUGAAUACUGCAGCAUGGAAUAACAAUAUAGGAUUUCGGUUCUAUUUUGUUGGUUCUUUUUUUAGGACUGAAAUAAUGAUUAAUAGGGACAGUUGGGGGCAUUCGUAUUUAACUGUCAGAGGUGAAAUUCUUAGAUUUGUUAAAGACGAACUACUGCGAAAGCAUUUGCCAAAGAUGUUUUCAUUAAUCAAGAACGAAAGUUAGGGGCUCGAAGACGAUCAGAUACCGUCGUAGUCUUAACCAUAAACUAUGCCGACUAGAGAUAGGAAAUUGUCAUUUUACUUGACUUCUCCUGCACU